GAGGUUCAAACUACAGUUGCAUUUUUCCUUUAACGCUUUUUGGAUUUGCAUGGAGACAAGGCUGCUAGCGGGAAGCUGAACAGAAAGUAUGACUGUAUCUUUUCCAUGGCCAAUCUUCUCUCUUCUUUUUCUCUCUGGAUACUACCGUAAAAGACCACAAGCUACGCUGUCACAGCUCCUGCUUUGAGGAAGUUUGAUCUACCUUAAGCGAGUUUCUAGAGUAACGUUUCCAGAUGUCAGACCUCUCCCACUUCUCUUCCGCCACCCUCUCAAAUUGGAGAGGAAACAAGCAGUCUUCUGCUGGAGCUGGUAGGCUCCAAGAACAAAAUGCAGCAGUUCCCUAAUCAGCUUCCAACCAUAAAUAAUGUUGUGUUCUUUCCACGUGAAUUGGUAUUUACAUCAACAUGUAUUAUCCACAGCCAAUCAGUUUGAUGUAGGUGUUGAUUUGCUGUCAUCUAGCACAUUAUGCUGCAUUAUGUUGCUGCACGUGCUCUGUGUAGAAAUAACUUGUUAAUGCUACAGCUUCCUGAACUUGUGACCAGGAGCAGCCUGCUGAGCAGAGCGGCGCAGGGUUCUUGCUCAGGCGCAGACACCGGCUUCGUAACCAAGGGCUACGGGCAGCUCCUCAGGAAAGCGCAGAUAAGAUUUACAGCUAAGGUAAACGCAGUUACAGAGCACCACACAUAACUUGACCGUGUGUUUAUAGUAAUUUAUUUACAAGUUACCACACAACACCUGUAGUACUACACUUUUUAUAACACCAUUAGAAGUAAAGUAAGUAACAUCUAGAAUAGGAGGCAGCAGAGAAAAAUGUGCACAGAGAAUGCAGAAAAGCUAUUCAGUUA